GAAUUAAACUUGGUGGACUGUUGCUGGCUCCUCCGGGGGCACUGUGCACGUCUGUCAUUUUUACUUUUCCACCUGUGCACCUUUUGUAGAUUCCGUUAACAGGUUUCUGAAUUUCCGUGGGGGCGGUCUUGCUUCUGCGGUUUUUUCAGAGCUUGGGAGUCUACGUUUUUUUAUACAAACCCAAAUGUAUGUUUUAGAACGUGUAUACAAGGCCUUAAAACAGCCUAUAAUAAUCUAUACAACUUUCAGCAACGGAUCUCUUGGCUCU
rnacentral:misc_RNA from 1 species